AUCACUUCUCAGCCUUUUGGCUAAGAUCAAGUAUAGUAUCUGUUCUUAUCAAUUUACUAUCUGACACGUUCUCUACUCAAGGACAAUAUAUUACAUGGACUUUUUGAGCAGGAAGAUGGAAUAGGAGCUUUCUCCAUCCAUCUUGGUGCAUCGGUCCGGUAUUGCAGUAAAAAGAAAAAAAGUCACCACUUUGCAAAUGGGGAAACAGAG
ensembl:snRNA U2 U2 spliceosomal RNA